CAAGGAAUCUUCCGCAAUGGGCGAAAGCCUGACGGAGCAACGCCGCGUGGGGGAGGACGCCCUUCGGGGUGUAAACCCCUUUUCUCGGGGACGAACACAAUGACGGUACCCGAGGAAUAAGGACCGGCUAACUACGUGCCAGCAGCCGCGGUAAUACGUAGGGUCCAAGCGUUGUCCGGAGUUACUGGGCGUAAAGCGCGCGCAGGCGGUGGCGUUAGUCCGGCGUGAAAGCCCCCGGCUCAACCGGGGAGGGUCGUCGGAGACUGCGUCACUUGAGGUCGGCAGGGGCCGGUGGAAUGCCCGGUGUAGUGGUGAAAUGCGUAGAGAUCGGGCGGAACACCCGUGGCGAAGGCGGCCGGCUGGGCCGUACCUGACGCUGAGGCGCGAAGGCGUGGGGAGCGAACGGG
rnacentral:rRNA from 1 species